rnacentral:lncRNA from 1 species
CAGGUACCAAUCGGGUAAAUUCUCAAGUGUGUAGCUACUGAGGACUCUGCCUCAAAUGGAAGAAGGCAGAGCUUCCAAACCAUUAAAAACGUUUGCUGACCCCUGAGCCAGAUCUUCCAAAAUGUGGAACACAACAGUCUUGAAGAAGAUGGUUAAUAUAGUGCUGUUUCCUUCUUUGCCCAAUAUCACUCCUUCACCUCAAUUUCUACUAAAGAAAACAAACUGGUUUUCUUAUAUUCCAUGGCUCUGAGGUUUAACAGGAUGGCCUACUACAAAUGGUGAAUAAAAUGAGAGCAAACUUGGGAAAGCAACUGCAAAGGGUUUCUCUCCCGCCGCCCAGGCUGGAUUGCAGUGGUACGCUCUCGGCUCACCGCAACCUCCACCUCCUGGCCUCAAGCAAUCCUCCUGCCUCAGCUUCCUGAGUAGCUGGGACUACAGGCACAAGCCACUACACCUGGCUAAUUUUUGUAUUUUUAGUAGAGACGGGGUUUCACCAUGUUGGCCAGGCUGGUCUCGGACUCCUGACCUCAAGUGAUCUGCCUGCCUCAGCUUCCCAAAGUGCUGGGAUUACAGGCGUGAGCCACCAUGCCCGGCCUGUCCCGCUUUUCAAGGUGUGAUGGUUUUGAACUGUGUCAACUUGGUUAAGCUGGAACCACAUUUUCCAGGAUCUCUUUUCCUGUAUGAUUCCAGGUUUAAGUUGACCAAAAGAGAAAUUUGCAAGAGUUCUGGAAAGAACCUCCUGAUUAGAUGUGGUGAGAGACAUAAACAAAGGGGUUAACAAGUUCAAACUGGUCCUCGAAUCUCAGUGUUCUGAGAGCAGCUCUCCUACCUGACUGCUGGCCCUGAUGACCACACCAACUCCCCGCACCCAUCACCAGAUGCAGAGUCAACAACCUUCUAUUGGCUUCUCCAUCAGUUCUCUAUGGUAGUCCCACCCCAGAGCUAGAUACCUGUGGCUUCCCAGAUUUCCCUUGCAAGCUCCCACUCAUCCACCCAUGGCAGUGUUUCUGAUCAUUGAAAGCAUGGAUGGCAGAAAAGAAAAGAAAAAAAAUCUGUGUGUUUAUUCCAAUGGGUAGAAAGUAAAUUUAAAAGUUUACUCUAUUGGGUAGAUGAUGGCCAAAGUAAACCAUUCUCCCUAAUCCUUGCAAUUACUCACAUACAACCUCCAUGCUAAAAAGAAAUAAAAAGUAAUAAGUAGCAAUUUGAUAUCUGAUCUUCCAGCUUUCCUUUCUCGACCUUGUUUCCCCAGAUGCUUCCACAAUUAUGUAAUAUCUAAUUGUUAUAAUCAGUUCCUCAUUCAUAACACUCAUAGUGGUUCUGCUUACCUGAUCAAACCUUGACUGAUACACGAGGCUCAGUUCAUGUAACUGCUAUUCCUUGAUCCCUUCUCUGACUAUUCUAGAGCAAUUUCUCUAUGCUUCUUUGGUACAAUGUGUUUGUGGCCCUCCACUGGCAUUAGUCAUAUAUUAGCUUGUACUGCAUUUACAUCGACAUAGGCCUUCAUGGUUCUAAGUGUAUGGUUGGUAUUUAGGAAGAGUUUAAUGAAUAAAUGAAAAUUUACACAGCCUAUGUGUCACCAUUCUCACACAUAGCAAACAUUAUUUAUUGAUCCCACCUCUUAUUCCCAUGACGCUUGAGCUAAGCCUUACAAUCCUUUUCAACACAGUGCUACAGAUAGGCAGUUGGAAGUGGCAUGGAUGAGGAAACCAGUUUUUCAUGCAGUUUCCGUAAGUCUGAGUAUGAAUUAUACUUUUUAGGCAAAUUAAAUAGCGUCAAAGGUCAUAGUGCAUGUACAGAUUGAAGCUCAGAUGCUACUUCCCUUCCCUACUUCCCACUCUACUGCCCCUAUUUUUCACAUAGUAGAUCCCCAAUAAGUAUUUGUUGAAUGAGAGAAUGUUAGUGUAACCUUCACAAAUGAGCUGUGUGAGCUCUACAAGCCAAAGUGACUCAACGAAGUUCCAAUCUUUUUUUUUUUUUUUUUUUUUUUUUUCUGAGAUGUAGUCUUGCUCUUUUGCCCAAGCUGGAGUGUGGUGGCCCGAUCUCAGCUCACUGCAACCUCUGCCUCCCAGGUUCAAGCAAGUCUACUGCCUCAGCCUCCCAAGUAGCUGGGACUACAGGCGUUAGCCACUACACCCGGCUAAUUUUUGUAUUUUUAGUAGAGACAGGGUUUCACCAUGUUGGCCAGACUAGCCUCAAACUCUUGACCUCAGGUGAUCCGCCCGCCUCAGCAUCCCGAAGUGCUGAGGGAUUACAAGCAUGAGCCACUGCACCCAGCCCCCAGUCCCACCUUUUAAAAUAAUGAAUAAGCAAAAGGCCAGAUAGAGUGAGCCUCUUGCAUUUUAAGAAGCCCAUUCCAGCCAUAACAGUCCUUUCUGAGCUAAAGAAGGCAAAGUACAAACACAUCCAGGCCCCAACUAACAACAACCAAAAUGUCACAUGUUGUCAGGUACUUGGAAAGAGGGAAAACCUUUCUAGCUUUUUUCCUUCUGGUGUUAUUAGCCCACUGCUUGGCAAUGACAUAGAAGGAAGACUGUGAAGAAGAAAAGAAGUUGGAGGGAAAGUUUGGAUUCAAAGGAGCCAGGUAGAAUUAGGUAGAAAAUACAGGGUCUAGAGAAGGAUAUUUUUUGUUCAUUUCUGAAAAAGGGACCCAAAUAAGCACGAUUGAUUUGACACUUGGAAAUACUAUUUUUGGUUUUCUCUCUUUUCCUUAAUUUUGCCCUAUCAACCAAGACCCAUAUCUCUAAGAAUUCUGUCAGGUACUUCCCAUUCCUGUGUUCAUUCUCUUAUUUCCUAUUCCUGUGAAUAAAAUCAGAUGAUGCCUCUGAUAAUCCUGGAAACUGAUCACUGAAAGCAUGGAUGGCAGAAAAGUAAAGAAAAAAAUCUGUGUGUUUAUUCCAAUGGCUAGAAAGUAAAUUUAAAAGGUUACUCUAUUGGGUAGAUGAUGUCCAAAGUAAACCAUUCUCCCUAAUGCUUGCAAUUACUCACAUACAACCUCCAUGUUAAAAAGAAAUAAAAAGCAAUACU